UCGCCUCCUGCAGGAAGAAAUAACCAAGCCUGGGCCCACUGCAGGCCAGGCUGUCCACACCAUGUCCCAGAAACAGCCCCCACCUAGUAACCUUUUCCCUGACUCCAGUGGACAGUCCGCAGCUUUGACAGAUUUGCAGCCUCCAUCACAGCAGGUUAGGCCAGGCCGCCAUGGGGAUUCGUGAGGCCCAGCAAGUCCUCUGCCAGGCUGGUGAGCUCGUUCUCCUCGAGCGCCUCCACCAGGCGCUGCAGCGUGGCGCGGCGGCCCU